rnacentral:tRNA from 1 species
GGACUUGUGGUCUAGCUGGUUAUGACGCUGCCUUCACGUGGCAGAAGUCCUGGGUUCGAAUCCCAGCAAGUCCA